GCCACACUGCUUAGUACAGGUUCUGGCUGUCAAGCAGUAGCUGAUCUCUCCCUCAUAUGUCAGAUAUUCUUGCAGAAGCUACAACACCACUCUGAAAGUUGAAGUUAUAAGUAAAAAUCCAAAGUCAAGACCCUUUAUAUGACUGAUGAUGAGAAACAGGCAUCUCUGGAAGGAGAUUUUCAGCACUGCAACACAUAAAAAAUUCCUUCUGUAUUUGCUUCUCUAAGUGUUUUCAUUCUCCCUCAGCAAGAAGUUAACGUAUGAAUCAUUGUCAAUCUGGUAUUUAAUGCGCCCUAAAGAGCACCUAACAAAUCUACAUUCAAAAGAAGCAACAAGACAUGAAUUUAUGUAAGAAACUGCAAACUAUGCCCAGAUUAUUGUAUUUUCUUCUGAUGCCAAAGCCCAGAUGGUAUAUAUGAGCACUUUUCUUACCCGGUCACCCUUACCACCAGGUAGGCCUGGAGGACCUGGCAGUCCAGGAAGUCCGAUGUCACCCUGGGGACCCUGUGAAAACAAAUUAAGGAUGUAAACUUACCCAGUCUGUUCUAGAAUAAACAUUCUCAGUACAGUGCCAAUUUGAUUGAAGAUGAUUAUCUGAUCAAAAUAGAGCUGAUCCCAAAUGCAUCCUUUUAAACAGCAUUGUACUAUAAUUUUACUGCAAACAUAAGAGAAAUGGCUAGCAGGGCUUUCCACCCUUCAGUCCCUCAACUGCAGCCUGGUUCCCUUAAAAAUACUUUCUAAGAUCUUACCCUCUGUGAUUUAUGCAUUCCUCUGUAACAGCAGGCUCUUUCAGCCAAAACCUCCCCAGCUCUGCUUCUGACAGUUAUUGUAUAAAUACUGCUGGAGCAGUAGUAAAAGGUGGCAUUCAUAAUCUGCUCCAUUUGAUAGUUUCAUGUAGCUGUUAGCAGAAAGACUGACUUUCACUGCUCCUGUUCCCCAACUGCAUGCAGACCACACAGGGGUGCACAACCCAAAUUCUCACAUCACUGAGACCUUUUCUUUCUUUUUUUUCUUUUUUUUUUUUUUAAGUAGAAAAAGUCACACAUCUCCAUAUGCUUCAAAACAACAUUUGCUAAUACUAGCACAGUUGGAGAGGACCGAAAAAGAAACUCAACAAUCACUCAUUUCAGCAUUAUUUUCAGCUCCCUGCUUAGACAAAUGGCUAAGUGUAAUUCCAGUUGAUACUACAGCUCUUGGAAGUAAACACAAGCACUGAAUAUGGAAAUAAACUGCUUACCCAUUUCCCUGGUAAACCUGGAGGACCUGCAGGACCUGGCUCUCCUCUGCUACCCUUAUAGGAAACAGAAGGACAUUGUUACCUCCCAAAAUAUUUCUGGCAAACUGGAAAUACAGCAUGAUUUUAUUCUUAAUGUUUAGUGAGUGAUACAACCUAGUAGUUGGCUUUAAUCAAGAUUUAUUACUGCAAAAAAUAAAAAUAAAAAUCGUGCAUUACAAGUAUUGAAAGACUGAGAAAUGCAAAAAUUAAGUUACAAUGGCACACAAUUAGUUAGCAUUAGAUGAUUCAACUAAUUAAUUCUGAUGAGUGCUUAUUCACAACAGAGCCUCCUUCAUGUCUCUGCACAUGAAAGUUACCUGUUAGGAAUGCAUAUAUCUCACUAAGACAGUUCUAAUGGGUAUUCUGAUAGGUGAACUCUUAGCUUUAGGUUUAUGCUUAAUUCCAUCAAAUGACCACAAUUAAGCAUAAUUUACAAACUUAACACUCAUGUCAAAAAACAUCAGAUGAGCAUAUAUUUUUCUUUUUAUAUUUUAAAUGCCGUCUUCAAAAUCUGAGAGAGUACAUGAUCCCAUAUUGUGAAUGACAAAUCUGACAAACGUAUACAGAAGUCACACUUAGCAAAUGCACAGAGGUAAAAAUGCUUGUCUAUGUAUGUCUAGACUGUUACAGGGAUGGGAAAACUUUUAAAAUCCCCAUUCACAGUAGUGGUAAGUAUAAAUAUGCUCUUAACUGGAUUUUUACUUUAUAUCUUCACUUCAAAUAUUUUAAUGCAUUCAGAUCAUCAUAUACACAUUGGUGCAAUAACUUCAUUUUUAAUACAGCAAUUUGAAUAUAUAUUAUGGGUAAACCUGACCUUGAAUCAAUUUUUCUAAAGUAUUUUUGAAAUAAAGUACCUUUCUCAAAGGGUUGUCUCUUAUGACCAAACAUUUUAGAACAGCUUAAUAAGCUUUCUACUCUCACUUGUACUGAUAAAUUCAAACACUGACUCAAUACAAGCCUAAAUCUCACUUGAGACACUUCUCUUACAGCUACGUGAUUAGUAAAUACAUGAGUAGUACUUGCUAUAAAAGCAUGAUGUAUAAUUUAAGAUCAUAAAAUACCAAGAAUAAAAGUUACUAUUACUGCUGUAUAUAGCAUAGAAAACUUUGAGUAAAAGCAGAUCUAAUUUUAGUAAAGUAUACAAUAUGUAAUUUCAAAUAUAAUUAUUUUCUUAGUAAGAAGAAAAAUUUUGUGACAUACUAAACAAUGAAAGGAGGUGGCAGACUUAAAAAUGUGUUUUACACCAGGUCAUAAACGAAGAAAUGAACCCUACAGUUCCAGAAGUAAUGAGGUAUCCUGGGGAGAUCAGAGAACCAAACACAGACAUACUUCCAUUCAUCUCCUCCAAAAUAUCCUAACAUGCUAAAGUUACUAUCCUUUUCAAGUACUUUUUGUUCAGUUUCUAGAAGCCUUUUCAAGUUGAAAGAAGGAAAGAAGGAAAGAAGGAAAGAAGGAAAGAAGGAAAGAAGGAAAGAAGGAAAGAAGGAAAGAAGGAAAGAAGGAAAGAAGGAAAGAAGGAAAGAAGGAAAGAAGGAAAGAAGGAAAGGAGCCCCUCAAAUCACCUUCAUUUUACUACUCAGAAAAGGCACUUCUGAAAAUCUGUUUUUUAAUUGCAUAAUUCAGUAGUACAUCUCUGACCCAGAAUACUAUUACAUUUCUGAGAAGAGAAGGGUGAAAAAUAUGAUUGGUAUUAAAAAUUUUC